CUUUGUAAACUUAGCACUGUGAUGGUAAAAAAAAUCACAGCCAUUGUGAUCCCACCAACGAUUAGAGGUACGCCUAUCAUCUCAAGUGGUAUUGACAGAGAAUUCACUUGCACAAGAUUACCAACAGUAAUUGAAGCCAUGAUCAUAAUAAAUAGAAAUAUAAUCGUUGCUUUCUUAGAACCAAAUGCAUCGGUAACAUAAGCUAUAGUUCCACCUAUAAACCUUUUAUUUACUUCCUUUCGUUUUUUUAUACUCAAAUAACAUGUAACAUAUUUUAUCACAGAAGUUACAACAACAAUUAUGAUCAUCCAUAAGAUAAAACCAGGUCCUCCAGUUUUUAAGGCAAUAGCUGUACCCGAAAUAUUUCCUACGCCUAAAUUCCCACCUAGAAUUGUGAAUAGUGCAACUAUCGAGGAAAAUUUAUUUUCACUUUUUUUAUCAUUUAGAAGUGAUAGUGCAUAUGGUAAUCUAGAUAGCUGUAACCACUUGAGUUUUAUUGAUAAAUAAAUACCAGUAGCUAACAUAAGUAAUACUGUUGGCAGCAGUAAAAUGAACUUUAUUAUAUCCAUAU